ensembl:lncRNA
GUUCUGAGUCCUGUCUUUUUUGUUUUGCGUUACAGUGUAAGCAUUUUCCCACGUCCUUAAAAUUCUUCUUAAAGACAAUGUUACAGGUUGUGUAACAGUCAUGCAUUGUUUUCUUGCCUAAGGUAGCUGUGGUCCACCCUUAUGAUUCCAGGAGAUUUGCUUUCAUUUUCCAUAUUUUAGAAACUUUCCUCCUGCAAAGAACUGCUCCCCUACUAUCUCCAAGCAACAAGGAAGACCUCAAAAUCCUCAUCCAGGUCUUCCUGGGGCCUCCAGAAAACUUGUUUAAUCCAAUAUAUCUCAGCAGAGUUUGGGUGUCAAGCCUUUCUUUUCGUGAUCUCUUCCCUUGCCUUUAUUUCUCACGAUGGAGGAUUUGUAAUCCAAUGGGUAUAACUCAGGGGCUGUCAAGACUGAUGAUUAAAAUGUGGACUGUUUGAACGUUAAUGUACAGGGUAGCAUCCUUCCCAAAUUAGAUUCACCUGGAGCCCCAGAACACGAUGCUAUUUCAAGGUAGGGUCUUUGCUCAUGUAAUAUGGUAAAAUGAGGUCAUGCUCAUUAAGGAUUAAGGUGGGAGUCCAGUCCAAUCACUGGAGUCCUUGAAAGAAGGCCACGUGGAGACACACACACACACGGAAGGAGAAUGCCACGUGAGGGUGGAGACAGGUUGGAGGGACAUAUCUAGAAGCCAAGGAACGCCAGGGGCCAGUGGCGGCCACCAGGAGAAAGGCAAGGGAUGAUGCUCCUCAGAGCCCCCAGGAAGGAACGAGCCCUGCCGAUACCUUCAGUUUGGACCUCGAGUCUCCGGAACACACGCGAGACCUGGUGACGUCUCAGGGGUCCAUGGAGUCAUUGUCUUUAAGGGGCUAGAAGGUUCCAGGAGAUCAUGAGGCAGAUCACCAGGCAUUGCAUCCCGGAGGCUGGGGACCUCUGAACUAUGGGGUCAGAGUGUCUUCCGCAUCAGGACGUUGCCAGCAUGCAGUGAGGAGCCUCUUGCUGCGGUGAGGAGGGAGGUGAGCGACAAGGCCAGAAGUGGGGUCACAGAGCCAGCGAUGGGCCGAAGGUCUGGCCAACCUGAUGAAGCAACCUCAGAGAGGUCCAGAGAGUCCAGCCCAGGAACAGUCUGGGAUGACGCAAAAGGAACCGGACACUGACUGGGAAGCCUUCAUCCUAGCUUCACUUCCUGAACAGGUCUGGAGGCCUGGCCUGGUCCUCAGGAAACGGCAUGCUGGCCUCUGGGCGCAGAACCUCCACCCUUGUUUGGCUGGUGUCUUGUUGCAGCUGGUGGAUGACUUGUAGUUUUAUGUGCAGAAAAGCUCCUGUUGGGCUCCAGCCAGGCGAGUCACCACUCAAAGAGGGGGUCCAGCCGGGCCAUCAGACUCUUCAGGUGUCGCCCUGUCUGGGCCAGCUGUUGUGUCAGUUGGACCAGCUGUUGAACAGUCUGAGAUGGGAGACAGCUCAGCGAGUGGACAAGGCCUAUGUCUUGGGGAAGGUGGCUGAUGCGGCUGAGGACACGGCUGUUUCACCGGCAGAGCCAGGAUGCAAUCCCUGUCUGCCUGAUUCAAAAGAACUGCUCUUAUUUUUCACCCAGAGAAAAAGAGAGGUGACUCCUGCUUUAUAGUUGUGAGAAUCCCAUGAGAAAAUCAACACAAGGUGUCCAGCAGAACUCUCUACGCACAGUCGACAUGUUCACUCCCAGAAACUCUUCAUUGCCUUCUCUCUGUAAUCAGAAGUGACCAAUCGCUGCUAAACCACGACACUGAGAACACGGCUGGUCCCAGCCCCGUGCCUGGGCGUCACUCCGCUCCCACAUGGCGCCCAGUUUCUGCUUGGUGUUCUAAGAUGGGCUUCUUGGGGUAGUGUUCCUCCUCUGGCUCCUCUCCCAUAUGGUGGUUUAAUUGCUAAGUUGUGUCCGACUUUUGCAACCCCAUGGACUGUAGCCCACCAAUCUCCUCUGUCCAUGGGAUUUUUUCCAGGCAAGAAUACUGGAGUGAAUUGCCAUUUCCUUCUGCAGGGGAUCUUCCCGACCCAGGAAUUGAACCCGUGUCUCCUGCGUUGCAGGCAGAGUCUUUACCGACUGAGCUACCAAACGCACAAUAGCUACAAAAAUGAGAAACAGCAUGGCGGUCGUGGUGAGGUUCCAAGACCAUCAUCAAUUCUUAUAAAAAAAAAAUCAUUCUCUUUGAAUGUGGUGCUUAUCUGGGUACCGUGCCAAACUCAGUCUAGGACAGACACUGGGAUAAGUUGAGGGUGGGAAGAGCGUCUCCUGACUAACCCACCAGCUAUAGGAAGUUUUUCUAGACCCAAGGGUUCUCAACCUCACUGGAUCCAACUCCCCCCUUUUUUAAUGAAUACUCUAUAUUAUUAC